UACAGAGGGUGCGAGCGUUGUCCGGAAUCACUGGGCGUAAAGGGCGCGUAGGCGGUCUCUUAAGCGUGUGGUGAAAGCCCGGGGCUCAACUCCGGGUCGGCCGUGCGAACUGGGGGACUGGAGCUCGUCAGAGGCAGGCGGAAUUCCGGGUGUAGCGGUGGAAUGCGUAGAGAUCCGGAAGAACACCGGUGGCGAAGGCGGCCUGCUGGGACAGUGCUGACGCUGAGGCGCGACAGCGUGGGGAGCAAACAGG
rnacentral:rRNA from 1 species